rnacentral:rRNA from 1 species
AGGCAGCAGUGGGGAAUUUUGGACAAUGGGCGAAAGCCUGAUCCAGCAAUGCCGCGUGAGUGAAGAAGGCCUUCGGGUUGUAAAGCUCUUUUGUCAGGGAAGAAACGGUGAGGGUUAAUAUCUGUUGCUAAUGACGGUACCUGAAGAAUAAGCACCGGCUAACUUCGUGCCAGCAGCCGCGGUAAUACGUAGGGUGCAAGCGUUAAUCGGAAUUACUGGGCGUAAAGCGUGCGCAGGCGGUUUUGUAAGUCUGAUGUGAAAUCCCCGGGCUCAACCUGGGAAUUGCAUUGGAGACUGCAAGGCUAGAAUCUGGCAGAGGGGGGUAGAAUUCCACGUGUAGCAGUGAAAUGCGUAGAUAUGUGGAGGAACACCGAUGGCGAAGGCAGCCCCCUGGGUCAAGAUUGACGCUCAUGCACGAAAGCGUGGGGAGCAAACAGGAUUAGAUACCCUGGUAGUCCACGCCGUAAACGAUGUAUACUAGUUGUCGGGUAUUAAUUGACUUGGUAACGCAGCUAAC